rnacentral:rRNA from 1 species
ACUCAAAGGAAUUGACGGGGGCCCGCACAAGCAGCGGAGCAUGUGGUUUAAUUCGACGCAACGCGAAGAACCUUACCUGGGCUUGACAUGUUGGUGACCACCGUGGAAACACGGUUUUCCUUCGGGACACCAUCACAGGUGGUGCAUGGCUGUCGUCAGCUCGUGUCGUGAGAUGUUGGGUUAAGUCCCGCAACGAGCGCAACCCCCGUCCUAUGUUGCCAGCAUUCAGUUGGGGACUCAUAGGAGACUGCCGGUGACAAACCGGAGGAAGGUGGGGAUGACGUCAAGUCAUCAUGCCCCUUAUGUCCAGGGCUACACACGUGCUACAUUGGCGCAUACAAAGGGCAGCAAUACCGCGAGGUGGAGCAAAUCCCAUAAAGUGCGCCUCGGUUCGGAUUGGAGGCUGAAACUCGCCUCCAUGAAGGUGGAGUUGCUAGUAAUCGCGGAUCAGCAAUGCCGCGGUGAAUACGUUCCCGGGCCUUGUACACACCGCCCGU